AAUAACUCACAGGAGACAAUGGUAUCUCUUCAUUGAUUCUUUAUUCUAGGCCUGGAGUCCUCCUAGGCCCAAUUCAGGGUAAAGGUCACUGACCUCUGUCUUGUCUUUGCAGGCACACAUCUGGAACUGCUGGAUGCCCACAUGUAGGACCCUUUUAUAUACCAGGGGAGGAGUCUGAGCCAGGACGCACGUACAUCGUACAACCAAAUUUCAAUUCAAUCAAGUCUGUUUCGUGUACAAGAUGAAAGGGGUUAACCUCUGCAGUCAGCAUAUCAGCCGCUGUCCUUGAGUCCUUGAAAGUGAUUCUUUCACUACUGUUUGUGACCCAGUCCACGUAUCCACAAGAGCACCUGGAGCAUGUUCUGGAGAGAAGCAUCACCUCUAGGUCAGGCUGUGAACUGGAUAUGGAAAGUCAGCUAGAAGCAUGUUGCUAUUUUUUAACAUUUUGUGCCAAUUCUCCCUUCUGCCCUAAAUUGUGUAUAAACCCAAGCUGCUGAAAUGGAUUACCAUUGGUUUAACUGUUCAUAUCACCCUAAAUUUUAAAUCUA